GUUACACCGCCCUUUCAAAUAAAAACGGAAAUGCGGUCCACAUAAAAGACAGAAGGCAGCAUACUAUCCAAAGAAGCCCCACAGCCAUCAGAUACUGCGAGGGGAGUUCCUCUUUCGAAGUUGGCUGAGUUCGACUGAGAGGCUGACACCUCGCAGUCAGGACCGGACUUCCCUUGCAGCAAGUAAAAAGUCAUUGCAGCUGUCCGUGUUGUUCUGUGUUCAGAGACAGGCUGCUCUUUCAUUGUAGGUUUGGAG